rnacentral:rRNA from 1 species
CGCUGAAGCACCAGCUUGCUGGUGUGGAUGAGUGGCGAACGGGUGAGUAAUACGUGAGUAACCUGCCCUUGACUCUGGGAUAAGCCCGGGAAACUGGGUCUAAUACUGGAUGCUACAUGUCACCGCAUGGUGGUGUGUGGAAAGGGUUUACUGGUCUUGGAUGGGCUCACGGCCUAUCAGCUUGUUGGUGAGGUAAUGGCUCACCAAGGCGACGACGGGUAGCCGGCCUGAGAGGGUGACCGGCCACACUGGGACUGAGACACGGCCCAGACUCCUACGGGAGGCAGCAGUGGGGAAUAUUGCACAAUGGGCGAAAGCCUGAUGCAGCGACGCCGCGUGAGGGAUGACGGCCUUCGGGUUGUAAACCUCUUUCAGCAGGGAAGAAGCCACAAGUGACGGUACCUGCAGAAGAAGCGCCGGCUAACUACGUGCCAGCAGCCGCGGUAAUACGUAGGGCGCAAGCGUUGUCCGGAAUUAUUGGGCGUAAAGAGCUCGUAGGCGGUUUGUCGCGUCUGCUGUGAAAGCCCGGGGCUUAACCCCGGGUGUGCAGUGGGUACGGGCAGACUAGAGUGCAGUAGGGGAGACUGGAAUUCCUGGUGUAGCGGUGGAAUGCGCAGAUAUCAGGAGGGAACACCGAUGGCGAAGGCAGGUCUCUGGGCUGUUACUGACGCUGAGGAGCGAAAGCAUGGGGGAGCGAACAGGAUUAGAUACCCUGGUAGUCCAUGCCGUAAACGUUG